rnacentral:lncRNA from 10 species
UAUACUUCUGUAGUAUAAAUUUUAGCUGGCAACAUGGCUGCCUGGCCAAAGACUACAUUUCCCAGUCUCCCUUGCAGUAGCCAUGGUCAUGUGACGAGGUAAAGCCAGCAGAAGUGAUGAGGGUCACAUCCUGAUCUUGCCCUCAAAAAAUUGGUAGUAUCAUCGACCCCUUGUGCCCAGUCCCUUUCCCCCUUUCCACUGCUGGAAGGAGAGGAGAAGAACCAGGGUAUCUCCUUAGACACAGAAAUGGAAAGCACGUAUUAAGGAUGUGGAGCUACCCCAGCAGCCCUGACCUGCUGACCUCCAGACUGUGACAUGGAAACAGAUCAACUUCUCUCUUGGCAUUAAGUCUGACACUGGGGACAUCAAAACGGAUAACACAUGGCCCUGGAUCUCAAGGAACCUGCCGCCUGAUGGAAAAUAAAAGAGAGAGUCACACUUAAAUGAAUGAUUUCAGCAUAAUGAAUGUGACAAGUGAUAAGAUAAGGGAAUGCAUCCAGUAUCACUGCUUUUCCAAGGCUUCUCGAGGGGUAAAAAAUUACCCAGUGGGUAUUUGAAGGAGAAAGUAAAUAAAAGAAAAUCUACCAAGAA